CUAAGCAGAAAAACAUGUUGGCCAGUCAGAAAACAAGGAACAUCUGAGAAAAAAGCUACUCAUCUAUCAAUGUGCCUGAGAUAAAAUACUAUGUGACACUGGUAUGAAUCUUUGUUAUACUUAUUCAUUUCAACAAUUCUUCAUUAUCUUAAAAUGUAAAUGAGUUUUCUUUAGGAAAAAGAUAAAGACACUUCCUUUUCUUUUUGUACCUCCUAUUAUAAAAUGUGCUUUUUAUGAGAUCUAAGGUGGUGAUACAUUUCUUAGGACUUUUAUGUUGAGAGUGUCCAAUGUGGAUUGUAAGGUCCUGGGGUCAGACUCAAAAUGUUGUAAAUUAUCCUUGAAGUCUGUGCUCUUAUCCUAAAAGUACAGACUAGGUGAGACCUACAAUGGUAGAGAACUGAUGUAACAUUUUCUUGACUCCACAUCCCCUACCUGCUUUUCCAUCUUAGACAUAUCCAAAAGAACUACUGUCCUAGUUUGAAACUCCUGUACAUUAAAUCUUUUUUUUCCCAAAACAUUCUUUAUUCUCUAUUUCAAGAGCUUGCAUUGGGACUUCAUGUUUUAAAUCCUUCUCUGCUGUGAUCCAUAUAACAAAGAAAAGCAGACUGACUACCAGCUCCUAUAGAGGAAAAUAGCUGAUUUUUGUUGUUGAAAAGCAUGUAUAUGAUCCUUCUCUACUUUGAACAGACCAAGUAGUGAAAGAGAAAUUCCUGAGAGGAAAAGGUCAGACGCUCCUUCUAUACACUAGGGACAAGUUCUCUUCUAUCAGCCUUUCUCAGCUGCCCACCUAUUCACUUAUUUUCAAAGCAAAAGGAGAAUUUUUCUGACUGAGGAAUAUGAGCCUUACUUACCCCACUGGAAAUUUUGCAAAGAUGUGCAGAGAAGACCCAAAAUUUCUGGAUAUAAAGGUAUCAUAUGAACUCCGGAUCACUGAAGUAUGCCUGUGUAUGAACUCAGAAUUCCCAGCAGGCAUCAGGAAGAGUUAUUUUACCAUUUGUUUUCCAUUAUAGCCACCUUCUGUUAACAUUUUUCUGAGAUGAGACCUUGUAUCUAAUGGUAUUUAUCCACAGCUCAGCCUAUGACUGACUUUCCUGGCACCACAUGUCUGUGUUUGUCCUAAAUCCAAGUUACUCCAGGAACUGUGUAACUAUCUAUGAUCAUUUCUUCCUCCACCAUGAAAAAAAAAAUUAAAA
rnacentral:lncRNA from 1 species